GACGAGGCACUACGGUGCUGAAGCAACAAAUGCCCUGCUUCCAGGAAAAGCCUCUAAGCAUCAGGUAACAUCAAAUCGUACCCCAAACCGACACAGGUGGUCAGGUAGAGAAUACCAAGGCGCUUGAGAGAACUCGGGUGAAGGAACUAGGCAAAAUGGUGCCGUAACUUCGGGAGAAGGCACGCUGACACGUAGGUGAAGUGAUUUACUCAUGGAGCUGAAGUCAGUCGAAGAUACCAGCUGGCUGCAACUGUUUAUUAAAAACACAGCACUGUGCAAACACGAAAGUGGACGUAUACGGUGUGACGCCUGCCCGGUGCCGGAAGGUUAAUUGAUGGGGUCAGCGCAAGCGAAGCUCCUGAUCGAAGCCCCGGUAAACGGCGGCCGUAACUAUAACGGUCCUAAGGUAGCGAAAUUCCUUGUCGGGUAAGUUCCGACCUGCACGAAUGGCGUAAUGAUGGCCAGGCUGUCUCCACCCGAGACUCAGUGAAAUUGAACUCGCUGUGAAGAUGCAGUGUACCCGCGGCAAGACGGAAAGACCCCGUGAACCUUUACUAUAGCUUGACACUGAACAUUGAGCCUUGAUGUGUAGGAUAGGUGGGAGGCUUUGAAGUGUGGACGCCAGUCUGCAUGGAGCCGACCUUGAAAUACCACCCUUUAAUGUUUGAUGUUCUAACGUGGACCCGUAAUCCGGGUUGCGGACAGUGUCUGGUGGGUAGUUUGACUGGGGCGGUCUCCUCCUAAAGAGUAACGGAGGAGCACGAAGGUUGGCUAAUCCUGGUCGGACAUCAGGAGGUUAGUGCAAUGGCAUAAGCCAGCUUGACUGCGAGCGUGACGGCGCGAGCAGGUGCGAAAGCAGGUCAUAGUGAUCCGGUGGUUCUGAAUGGAAGGGCCAUCGCUCAACGGAUAAAAGGUACUCCGGGGAUAACAGGCUGAUACCGCCCAAGAGUUCAUAUCGACGGCGGUGUUUGGCACCUCGAUGUCGGCUCAUCACAUCCUGGGGCUGAAGUAGGUCCCAAGGGUAUGGCUGUUCGCCAUUUAAAGUGGUACGCGAGCUGGGUUUAGAACGUCGUGAGACAGUUCGGUCCCUAUCUGCCGUGGGCGCUGGAGAACUGAGGGGGGCUGCUCCUAGUACGAGAGGACCGGAGUGGACGCAUCACUGGUGUUCGGGUUGUCAUGCCAAUGGCACUGCCCGGUAGCUAAAUGCGGAAGAGAUAAGUGCUGAAAGCAUCUAAGCACGAAACUUGCCCCGAGAUGAGUUCUCCCUGAGACUUAAAGUCUCCUGAAGGAACGUUGAAGACGACGACGUUGAUAGGCCGGGUGUGUAAGCGCAGCGAUGCGUUGAGCUAACCGGUACUAAUGAACCGUGAGGCUUAACCUU
rnacentral:rRNA from 1 species